rnacentral:rRNA from 1 species
CUACGGGUUGCACCAGUCGAGAAUCUUCCGCAAUGGACGAAAGUCUGACGGAGCGACGCCGCGUGCGGGAUGAAGGCCUUCGGGUUGUAAACCGCUGUCAGUGGGGAGGAAAUGCAUCAGGGUUCUCCCUGGUGUUUGACCGAUCCGCAGAGGAAGCGCAGGCUAAGUUCGUGCCAGCAGCCGCGGUAACACGAACUGCGCGAACGUUAUUCGGAAUCACUGGGCUUAAAGAGUUCGUAGGCGGCCUUUCAAGUCGGGUGUGAAAUCCCUCGGCUCAACCGAGGAAUUGCGCCUGAUACUGUUGGGCUUGAGGGGGAUAGGGGUGAGCGGAACUGAUGGUGGAGCGGUGAAAUGCGUUGAUCUCAUCAGGAACACCGGUGGCGAAGGCGGCUCACUGGAUCUCUUCUGACGCUGAGGAACGAAAGCUAGGGGAGCGAACGGGAUUAGAUACCCCAGUAGUC